AUUUCAUUUACAUGUAAAUCAAGUUGUAGGACAGUGUACCAAACUGAACACUUUCUUCUUUGUUUGUAAGUUUCUAGGGUACACUGUAGUGAAAAGUUUUCUAACUAAUAGAGGUAUUUCUGAUUGAAAGUAACCAAACAAAUGUUUUGGCAUCUUUCCCAGAAAAGAAAAUUAUCCCUAUGACGCUUUGCAAGUAAGUAGGGAAAUUAUAAAUAAUCUAAAACUCAUAUUAGAAAGUUUAUAAGAAAUAUACACUAUGUGUGGAGAGCUAUUUUUUUCCCAUAAUCCAUUUAGGAUUUUGUGGUUCUAUCAGGAAGGGAAAAUGAACUCUCAAGAGAAAUUCCCCAUUAACAUUUCAUUCUGCACUUCAAAGAUCGUGACUGGUCACAUAGAACAGUUUGAAACCUAUUUGAAAUGUAAGAGCUGAUGAGUGAGAAAGGAGUGCAGUUUGAUGAUAGGUAGGAGAUCUGGCCCCUUGACUGCAUUGAAACCUACAGGGCUGGUGUCCUCUCAACACAUUACAGAGUAGCAACAGGACUCAUAGGAAAGUGCUCUCAUUGUCAGUGUACAUGGUGAGAAAGAAACAUGUGAAGCUGGCUUUGAAGCCAAUGAUCUGACUUGGCUCUUAUUUCUGGGAUAUAUGUUGUAUCCUCAGUUGCUUUUUGCAAAAGUAACUAUAAGAAUGCAUUAUAGCAACACCAACUUCUCCUUACUAAGGGACUCAGCUUUGGCUCCUCAGUUUCUCUGAUUUGGUUUACCCUAACCCUGUCAAUAGAUGUAAAAUAUUUGUAUUAUUUUAUUAACUCUAUUAGACAACAUUCACUAUCCUUCUUAAUUACAGACUGACCCUCUGUGACAUUCAAAAAUUCUAUUUUAGAAUAUGAAGAAUAAAUAAAGUGUUCUAUGCUCACCCUAACACUGUAUACUUAUUUUCCAUUUUUUUUUUUACAGUUGGCAUGACCCUCUUAUAGCCUCUGUACAUUUGUUGGUAUUUACCUUAAGUUAAAAACAUAAUUUGAAGUUAUUGUCUCUUUCCUGUGCUCACUUUUCUCUCACAUCAAUUUGACUCUUCUUUAAUUUAAAUGACUUGGGCUCAUAGUACUUUCAUUAUUCAUAAGGAAAAUGUCUAGACUACUCACCCAGGAAUUCUCUGUAAUCAUCUUCCAUGCUGCUUAUUAGCACUGUUCAUGGUUCCACUGCAUUCUUUAUGCCUAUCCACUAGACUAGACGGAACUUGAAGACAGGGUUAUACCUGAGUCAUUUAACUCAGUGUCUUCCACAGUGAAUAUUCAGAGACUGAAUAAAUAGGUAAAGUAGAAAAAUAUCUUACUUUCACAUGCAUCCAGAGAAUGUAAACUUCACUUCACGUAAAUAUGAGCUUGCAUACUUAACUGACUUAAAUGAGAAAUACCCCAAUAUGGAUCAGAGAAUAAUCAUCAUUAAUUUAUGUAUCGCGUUUUCAAAGUACCAGGCUGUAAUAACUUAUUCGCUAUUAACUAUGAUCUGAGAAUGUCACAGGAGUGCCUUAUGGAACUCAAAACUAAUUUGAUUGAUAUGAUAAUGCAGUUGAGGUUUUUUUAAACUAUGCAUUCAAUAACAAACACAAACAAAAAGAGAAUGAAAGGUAUUUAGAGUCAUGCCAUUAAGUCAGACAAAUCUCUAUUGAAUAAUGUCAGACAAACUUGCAAUUUCUCCCUAACUGAUUAUUUCCACUAAAUUUUUCAUUGAUUUGAAAUAAAAAAAUAACUUUUUCCAUUCUAAUAUAUUUGCUUUCAUAAUAAUUUCAGCACCUUAGAAAAUGAGUCUAUUUCCUUUCUUUUAAAUAUUCUUAUUAGAUAUUUUCUUCAUUUACAUUUCAAAUGCUAUCCUGAAAGUCCUCUAUACAUUCCCCACACACUGCUCCCCAACCCAACUACUCCCACUUCCCGGCCCUGGCAUUCCCCUGUACUGGGCCAUAUAAUCUUUGUAAGACCAAGGGCCUCUCCUCCCAAUGAUGGUCGACUAGACCAUCUUCGGCUACAUAUGAAGCUAGAGACAGGAGCUCUGGCGGUACUGGUUAGUUCAUAUUGUUGGAGCUGAAGGGGUCUGCAACCCUAUAGGAGGAACAACAAUGUGAGUCUAUUUCUUGUGAGUUUAUGUAUUAUGGGAAAUUUUAUAAAACCACUAAGAACUACAGUGAGAAGAACAUAGAGAGAUUUUCUUUACAACAAUUGACAUAUGUAAGCUAAAAGACCAGUUUUUAAACAAGCGACCACAAUGAUCCAUGCAUUUUAAUUUUAUUAUCCAAAUAAAAAUAUAAGAGUCUAAAUUUGUAUAAAUGCCUGUGGACCAAGAUGACACAGUGGUGCUGAGGUUCCUAGGUCAGUCUGUGUUAGCCACAGGGUUAAAUCUGUAACUCCAUUCAUAUAAACAUUUUCUACUUCAAAGGUAUUAUUCUCAAACUUUAGGGAUUCUUUUAAAAUAGUAACUUCUAAAGUGUGCAUUGUACAAAAGAGAGACCCAUUGGGUCUCUGUAGGAGCUGCCAGCCAUAAAGAAGCUUAAUGUACUAUGAACUAGUAUUUUUAACAUAACUUUUUCAAAUUACCUUUAUAACCUUUUAUGGCAGAAAUAAUGCAAAAAA
rnacentral:lncRNA from 1 species